rnacentral:tmRNA from 1 species
GGGGUCGUUAUGGAUUCGACGGGUAUAGGUUGAGCCUGAAUUGCGCUCCGUGGCAUCGUCCACGUUAAAAACGCUCAGUUUUCUAUUAUAACUGCAAACAAUAAUACAAACAACUACGCCGUAGCUGCCUAAACAGUAUGCUCAGCGUGAUCCGUCUAGUCUCGUCCAUGGGUUAGUGCCGGGUCUUAAAUUAAGUGGACUUACGCUAAUUGCUCACACCUGAAGUAAUUAGAAGAGACUAAUCAGGUUAGCCAGUCAUGGAUGCCCUGGAAUACGGCGUUUUGGCUGGUGAAAGCGCAAAUAGUAUCCCUAUGAACGUAGAUAUUCGGGUGGCAAUAUGCUCGGACGCGGGUUCGACUCCCGCCGACUCCAUUG